rnacentral:rRNA from 1 species
UACGAAGGGGGCUAGCGUUGCUCGGAAUCACUGGGCGUAAAGGGUGCGUAGGCGGGUCUUUAAGUCUGGGGUGAAAUCCUGGAGCUCAACUCCAGAACUGCCUUUGAUACUGGGAGUCUUGAGUUCGGGAGAGGUGAGUGGAACUGCGAGUGUAGAGGUGAAAUUCGUAGAUAUUCGCAAGAACACCAGUGGCGAAGGCGGCUCACCGGCCCGAUACUGACGCUGAGGUGCGAAAGCGUGGGGAGCAAACAGG